UACAGCACAGCAACCACACGUGUAACCGUGGGAACAUCAACUGAGAUGCAAUGGAGAAGCUGAGCUGUAUUUGCAACAAUAAUGCAUCCAAUACACUUGUAGCGGCUGGCAUGGUACUGUUUGCCAUGGGAUCAGCAGCAUUCCUAACUGGUUCGUUGCUCGACCGUCCGCUCGUGGAGACGACGGGAUUCGGCGUGGCCUGCCUUGCCAUCGUCAGCUGCGGUCUCGGCAUCGGUAUUAUGCGUACUCUGCUGGCAAAGACGGCUCCAAGUAGCAAGCCGGGACUCGACCAAUGCAGGCGUCGUCAGCCACAGGUAAACACCAAGCAGCAGCUGGCGUCAUUUGCAUACGAUUUCAAAACGGGCGACGUGACGUGGCCACUGGGAAUGGAUCUCUGGGACCCACCCAGCCAGCAGGAUCUCGAGAUAUACAAUGAGAAAGUCAACGACAUAACCAAACUCCUAACGCCUCCCAAACGAUAGACGUCCCGGAAUGGAGGCAGCAGGAGGAAUUCACCGCACGAGCGGCAUCCGAUCGCUACUGCUUUAGCUGCACGGCCAACGGGACCGAUGCCUUAAUCUCGAUUCGCAUGCUGGUGAAACCGAUCUAUGUCAGUGCCGUAUAUGCUAAAGGCGUUCAAUCACCGUAUUCAAGUUCUCAUAAAUUCUAUUUAUUAUGGCUGGAUUCCUGCUCCACUAUUUAUCACGGCGCAUGCAGGCCAUUCGUCGCCCAUGUGUUCAUUGCCAGCGUAUCCGCAAUCCUAGACCGUGCGUGGCAGCAAGAACUACAGCGCUGCUCAAUGGAAUCCAGUCACGUCACUCAAGUAUGUGCCUCGCGUCACACAGCCCUAGAACUGAAAACACUGGCCUGCAAAACGGUGCACGGCGCAAACUGGAAUGACGCGACUGGAUUUCAUUCAGCUGGAUUGUAGUCGUUCGUACUGAUUCGUAGUCAGUUCGGCCACCAUUGUCCAAUCAGUCCGCACACCACCAAUACUGUCAUGUACGGAACGCUCUUUUUCUAAAUAUGGGUCGAAACGCCAAUAGUUGUAGAAUUGCUGUUAGUAUCCGCUCGUUUUUGAAUACACUAAAGCAUUUGUGGAAUGUCGGUUCAGCUCAUUCUGUUGAUCCCAA